GGGGGUGUAGCUAAGUGGUAGAACACUUGCCUAGCAAGCAUGAGGGUCCUGGGUUCACUGCCCAGUACCACGA
rnacentral:tRNA from 1 species